rnacentral:pre_miRNA from 1 species
AAAAAGACAAACCCUGAAUUUUCGUGUUCAACGUUUGACUGUUCGUCUUAGUCUUAUAUGAAAUUUUUUAUAAUUAGUAUUUUUAUUAUUGUUAGAUAAUAAACAUGAUUAAUACUUUAUACGUAAUUUAUCUUUUUAAUUUUUUUAUAUAUUUUUUAUAUAAGACGGACGGUUAAAUGUU